UUUCCCAAUCUCACAAGCCCUUAAAAGAGGCGAGGCUAAAAAGACGGAUCGAAGGCAAUCUACUCCACCAUCUCUCCAUUCCAUCUCUCCCAACCUCAACAUAGAACUCAACGCCUUCAAUGAAACCCAAGGCAUUCUGGCAUUUUUUUUGUCAAGGCAUUCAGUCAUUGUUUUCGUCAUUCAAAUCCCCACAACCAUAGUCUUCUUUGGCGAAUCUACAACUAAAAUUAGAUAAGCGUGAUACGUGGUUUACAUGGGUAUCUCGAAGCUGUUGAUUUCCGAAAAAAAUUUGGGUAAUUAUGAAUUUUCAAUUAGAAACCAGUAUCUGAAUUUUUAAUUACAACCCUGUUCAUAUGAUUUGAAGGUAGAUUAAUAUGUAAAUAUUUAUAGAAAUGGUGAAAUUGAUUAAGAUUUAUAUUUAUAUUUACGACGACAUAUGAUUAAUUGACUAGCUGAAUCAGAAACGAGUUAAGCUAAUGAUUUGAUUUUGUUGUUUUGAUAUGUGCCAUGAGGAGUUCCGGGAGACAAUAUUACAUGUUCAUCUGGCAAAAGAUGGUUCUCCAGGUACCAAGGAAUUGGUUAUCUAUAAGGACUCACUUACUCUUGUUUUAUGUGAUGUAUCCGGCGCCGAACAUGGUUUCUGUGUAUGGGUGAUGGAGAAAUAUGGAGCCGUGGAGUCUUGGACUUAAAAAUUCAACAUUAAUUUUUAGGAUUUUGGAGGAAGAUUUAUGAAGCCAUCGUGGGUUAGAAAAGAUGGUGAAGAGUUACUAAUUACAAAGGAUGGCUCUUUGGUUUCUUGUGAUUCCAAUGGAGAACAGGUUACUGAUGUUGGAGUCCAUGACUCGAGAUCUGAGGAUUAUCUACGCUAUAUUCAUGUCGAUGUUUACCCCAAAAUGUGGUUCUUAUAGAAAAAGUCAAUGAUGCAAGUUGAUUUUAUUUUUUAUUAAUUACCAAUUUACCUUAAUUUUACUUAUGGGAUUAGUGUAUCAUUGUUACCUUUCAGAAGUGUUGAGAAAUUACAAAUAUUUCAUUGCUUUGCAUGAUUCUAUUUAUUUAUAAAAUGGUCUUAAUCUUAUACAAUAAAAAGAUUACCAAUGGAUUGUGAGUUGAAGUCUGAUUAUAAUAUUAACUGGAACCAAACUGUUUAACUAAUUAUAAUAUUAACUGAUAUGGAGUUUUUGCAGCUUAUAAUGGCAGGACAGAACGAUGGAGUCUGCCAUGGUUGUAGACGAAGCAGUUACUUUGUGGAUUGUCAAAAUAAGGUCCAUUGCCCGUGGUAUAAAGCUGCAUAUGUGUGAAGUGUUUUGCAGUGGUAUAGAACAUGAUCAACAAAGGUAAAUUUAAGUGUUGCAGCAAAAAGUGCGGAUUUUGAGAGUAGGUCAAAGAGGAUGAAACAUCCCGCAAAUCAAGUUCCAUUGGCAGUUCCACUAAUAAUCAUUUGGCAACUGGAUUAGAGAAUAAUGUCUCUUGCAUAUUUGAAAUGAUGUGUCGAUUAACUAACGAAAAAGAUGUGAAGAUAAUCAUGACAAUACGCAAAGGAAAUGCAAAGUUAGAAUGUGAUAAGAAAGGAAAGGGCCCGGCAUGAUUUGUAGUUAUUCGUCUAUGAACUUCUUUUGUGACUUUUUUCGUCUACGAUGCAAAUGCAAAUGCAGAAUGUGACUUUCUUCAUCUACGAUGUUGUGAAGUGUUAAUGUAAUUUCAGUUUUUUAAAUGUUAAUGUACGAUGUUGAUGUACAAUGUAAUUUCAGUUUAUUGGAUAUUUUCCUAUGCUAGUUCUAUUGUAACAGUAGGCCAAAGGAAUAACAUUUCUUCCUCUAUCUUUCUGCCUCUUUUUUUAAGUGAAAGUUUCUGUUGACAUUUGAAGAAACUAUUCUCAUAACAAUAACAGGUGUAAAAGGAGUA
rnacentral:lncRNA from 1 species